UACGUAGGUGGCAAGCGUUGUCCGGAUUUACUGGGCGUAAAGAGCGCGCAGGCGGUUGGAUAAGUCGAAUGUGAAAGCCCCCGGCUUAACUGGGGGAGGUCAUUCGAUACUGUUCAACUUGAAGGCAGGAGAGGGCAGCAGAAUUCCCGGUGUAGUGGUGAAAUGCGUAGAUAUCGGGAGGAAUACCAGUGGCGAAGGCGGCUGCCUGGCCGUGUUCUGACGCUGAGGCGCGAAAGCUGGGGAGCAAACGGG
rnacentral:rRNA from 1 species